GAGUGAGUGAGUGAACACAAUUUGUGGCUCAUAGCCCACCGCGGCAGUCCUGCAGCACCAUGGGAAAACUAUAAAGAUUGCUUUGUGAGCGAAGGAAUCCAGGUUAUUCUCAUUUGUGGACGCCGGUCCUCGGUCCCCCCAGCAACCAAGAACCGCUGAAACGCAGGACAUUCUGCCUCCUUCUCCGACCCAAAAAAAAAGAAAAA